GACGAACGCUGGCGGCGUGCUUAACACAUGCAAGUCGAACGGUGAAGCGCCUUCCUUUUUGGUGGGUGUGGAUGAGUGGCGAACUGGUGAGUAACACGUGAGUAACCUGCCCCCUUCUUCUGGAUAACCGCAUGAAAGUGUGGCUAAUACGGGAUAUUCUGGGUCUGUCGCAUGAUGGGUCUGGGACAGAUUUUGUUUCGGUGGGGGAUGGGUCCGCGCCGUAUCAGCUUGUUGGUGGGGUGAUGGCCUACCAAGGCGGCGAUGCGUAGCCGGCCUGAGAGGGUGGUGGGCGACACCAGAGGUGCGACGCGGCGGAGCCGCCUACGAGAGGAAGCAGUAGUGAAGAUUAUUGCAUGAUGGGAGCAAGGCUGGAGCAGCGACGCGGGGUGAGUGAUGGUCUCCGGAUGGUUGUGAUCCGUUUUCGGGGGAGAAGAAGUGUGUCCGCGAUUGUGCGUGGGUUGACGGUAGCUGGAUAAGAAGCGCCGGCUAACUACGUG
rnacentral:rRNA from 1 species